rnacentral:rRNA from 1 species
GGGUUUGAUCAUGGCUCAGAUUGAACGCUGGCGGCAUGCCUUACACAUGCAAGUCGAACGGCAGCACGGGAGCAAUCCUGGUGGCGAGUGGCGAACGGGUGAGUAAUAUAUCGGAACGUGCCCAGUCGUGGGGGAUAACGUAGCGAAAGCUACGCUAAUACCGCAUACGAUCUAUGGAUGAAAGCGGGGGAUCGCAAGACCUCGCGCGAUUGGAGCGGCCGAUAUCAGAUUAGGUAGUUGGUGGGGUAAAGGCCCACCAAGCCGACGAUCUGUAGCUGGUCUGAGAGGACGACCAGCCACACUGGGACUGAGACACGGCCCAGACUCCUACGGGAGGCAGCAGUGGGGAAUUUUGGACAAUGGGCGCAAGCCUGAUCCAGCAAUGCCGCGUGCAGGAUGAAGGCCUUCGGGUUGUAAACUGCUUUUGUACGGAGCGAAAAGGCUCGCACUAAUACUGUGGGCUCAUGACGGUACCGUAAGAAUAAGCACCGGCUAACUACGUGCCAGCAGCCGCGGUAAUACGUAGGGUGCAAGCGUUAAUCGGAAUUACUGGGCGUAAAGCGUGCGCAGGCGGUUUUGUAAGACAGAUGUGAAAUCCCCGGGCUCAACCUGGGACCUGCAUUUGUGACUGCAAAGCUAGAGUACGGCAGAGGGGGAUGGAAUUCCGCGUGUAGCAGUGAAAUGCGUAGAUAUGCGGAGGAACACCGAUGGCGAAAGCAAUCCCCUGGGCCUGUACUGACGCUCAUGCACGAAAGCGUGGGGAGCAAACAGGA